GUGCUUGCUUCGGCAGCACAUACACUAAAAAAUUGGAACAAUACCAAGAUUAGCAUGGCCCCAGCGCAAGGAUGAAGUGUAAUUAUUAUAAGGGAAACAUGUUAUU
rnacentral:snRNA from 1 species